GGGUGCGUAGCUCAACGGCAGAGCAGCUGUCUUAUACACAGCAUGUUGCAGGUUCGAAUCCUGCCGCACCCA
rnacentral:tRNA from 9 species